AUACGUAGGUGGCAAGCGUUGUCCGGAAUUAUUGGGCGUAAAGCGCAUGUAGGCGGUUCCUUAAGUCGGUCGUGAAAAUGCGGUGCUUAACGCCGUAUGGCGAUCGAAACUGGGGGACUUGAGUGCAGGAGAGGAAAGGGGAACUCCCAGUGUAGCGGUGAAAUGCGUAGAUAUUGGGAAGAACACCGGUGGGGAAGGCGCCUUUCUGGACUGUGUCUGACGCUGAGAUGCGAAAGCCAGGGUGGCGAACGGGAUUAGAUGCCCCGGGAGUCCUGGCCGUAAACGAUGGGUACUAGGUGUGGGAGGUAUCGACCCCUUCCGUGCCGGAGUUAACGCAAUAAGUACCCCGCCUGGGGAGUACGGCCGCAAGGCUUAAACUCAAAUGAAUUGACGGGG
rnacentral:rRNA from 1 species